AAAAAUAAUAGUAAGUGCGAUUGUAUAUCUGCCACUGCAGCAUCAUCUUACGUUGGUGGGAUAUUUGCCUACCAAGGAUUCGACGCUUACGGGGAAUUAGGGUUUGACUCCGGAGAAUGAGCAUGAGAAACAGCUCAUACAUCUAAGGAAGGCAGCAGGCGCGGAAAUUGCCCAAUGUAUCUUUUAUACGAGGCAGUGACAAGAAAUGGUAGGCACUUUUGUGCACUAUCGAGGGUUAGUGGUAUCUUUGCUAACCGUGACUCGUGGGCAAGCUCGGUGCCAGCAGCCGCGGUAAUUCCGACACAGGGAGUUUUCCAUUUGGUUGCUGCAGUUAAAAAGUUCGUAGUUUACUGACUCUUUCACUAUAAGCAAAGCCGAAUGCUCCAAUUUCUUAGCAGUAUUUAUAGUAUGAAAUUAUAGCGCGGCAUUGAACGUAGUUUGGGGUACUCGAUAGGGACAGGUGAAAUAGGAUGAUCUAUCGAAGACCCACGGUAGCGGAGGCUCCCAACGAAGUCCAAGUGUCACGAUCAAGAACUAAAGUCAGGGGAUAGACGACGAUUAGACACCGUUUUAUUCCUGACCCUAAACGAUGUCGCCUAGCUGAUGGGAUUUUUUUCAUUUGCCAAGAGAAAUCGUAAGGUUUCAGACUCUGGGGGAAGUAUGAUCGCAAGGUUGAAACUUGAAGGGAUUGACGGAGAGGUACCACCAGACGUGGAGUCUGCGGCUCAAUUUGACUCAACACGCAAACAUUACUAGGCCCAGAAGCU
rnacentral:rRNA from 1 species